rnacentral:rRNA from 1 species
AGGACGAACGUUGGCGGUGCGCCUAAUGCAUGCAAGUCGAACGGGCGAAGGGACUUCGGUCCCCUAGCUAGUGGCAAACGGCUGAGUAACACGUAAGUGAUCUGCCCCAAGGCGAGGGACAACCCCGAGAAAUCGGGCCUAAUACCUCGUAAGUUCAUUGGACUACGGUUUGAUGAAGAAAGGUUUCGACCACCUUGGGAGGAGCUUGCGGCCUAUCAGGUAGUUGGUGGGGUAAUAGCCUACCAAGCCGAAGACGGGUAACCGGUGUGAGAGCACGAUCGGYCAGAGGGGGACUGAGACACGGCCCCCACUCCUACGGGAGGCAGCAGCAGGGAAUCUUGCACAAUGGACGAAAGUCUGAUGCAGCGACACCGCGUGAGGGAAGAAGGCCUUCGGGUUGUAAACCUCUUUUAUCAGGGAAGAGUAAGGACUGUACCUGACGAAUAAGGACCGGCUAACUACGUGCCAGCAGCCGCGGUAAUACGUAGGGUCCAAACGUUGUCCGGAUUUACUGGGCGUAAAGAGCGCGUAGGCGGUUUGUUAAGUCUCAUGUGAAAUCUCCCGGCUCAACUGGGAGGGGUCAUGGGAUACUGGCAGGCUUGAGGGUAGCAGAGGAAAGCGGAAUUCCCGGAGUAGUGGUGAAAUGCGUAGAUACCGGGAGGAACACCAGAGGCGAAGGCGGCUUUCUGGGCUAUUCCUGACGCUGAGGCGCGAAAGCGUGGGGAGCAAACCGGAUUAGAUACCCGGGUAGUCCACGCCCUAAACGAUGGAUACUAGAUAUGGGGGGUAUCGACCCCUCCCGUGUCGCAGCUAACGCAUUAAGUAUCCCGCCUGAGGAGUACGGCCGCAAGGCUA